GGAGGACGCAGGAGAGAAACUGAAUCCAUUUUCAACCUUAACUGGUGAUGAAAGCUACCAAAGUCGUGAUCUUGAAAAGACUUCUCAGCAAGUUGCAAAAAAACUGUAUGACACUAAGGUUCAACCUUCUACUUUGUUACCAAAACAAGUUGGCAACAUGUACACCGCAUCUCUCUAUGCUGCACUUGCAUCUGUUUUUCAUAACAAGCAUAGCACACUGGGAGGUCAACGAAUUGUCAUGUUCUCUUAUGGAAGUGGCCUGUCCUCCACGAUGUUCUCCUUUAAACUUGAAGAUGGUA
rnacentral:misc_RNA from 1 species